GUGAGGAAUUUUCCGCAAUGGGCGAAAGCCUGACGGAGCAAUGCCGCGUGAAGGAUGAAGGCCUAUGGGUUGUAAACUUCUUUUCUCAGAAAAGAAUUAUGACGGUAUCUGAGGAAUAAGCAUCGGCUAACUCUGUGCCAGCAGCCGCGGUAAGACAGAGGAUGCAAGCGUUAUCCGGAAUGAUUGGGCGUAAAGCGUCUGUAGGUUGUUUAAAAAGUAUUCUGUCAAAGAUUAGGGCUUAACCCUAGAUAGGCAGAAUAAACUUUUAAGCUAGAGUUUGGUAGAGGCAGAGGGAAUUCCCGGUGGAGAGGUGAAAUGCGUAGAUAUCGGGAGGAACACCAAAGGCGAAGGCACUCUGCUGGGCCAAUACUAACACCGAGAGACGAAAGCGAGGGGAGCAAAUGGGAUUAGAAACCCGGGUAGUCC
rnacentral:rRNA from 1 species